rnacentral:rRNA from 1 species
GUGGAGAGUUUGAUCCUGGCUCAGGACGAACGCUGGCGGCGUGCUUAACACAUGCAAGUCGAACGCUGAAACCAAAUGCUUGCAUUUGGUGGAUGAGUGGCGAACGGGUGAGUAACACGUGGGUGAUCUGCCCUACACUUUGGGAUAAGCCUGGGAAACUGGGUCUAAUACCGAAUAUUCACACCACCGUAGGGGUGGUGUGGAAAGCUUUAUGCGGUGUGGGAUGAGCCUGCGGCCUAUCAGCUUGUUGGUGGGGUAAUGGCCUACCAAGGCGUCGACGGGUAGCCGGCCUGAGAGGGUGUACGGCCACAUUGGGACUGAGACACGGCCCAGACUCCUACGGGAGGCAGCAGUGGGGAAUAUUGCACAAUGGGCGCAAGCCUGAUGCAGCGACGCCGCGUGGGGGAUGACG